UGCGGGAUGGAGCAGUCUGGUAGCUCGUCGGGCUCAUAACCCGAAGGUCAUCGGUUCAAAUCCGGUUCCCGCGACCA
rnacentral:tRNA from 1 species